GGAGAAGAGAGGCGGCAUUCAAUUCAAGUGUGGAGUAAGUUCAGACUCCAUUUAGAGGAACACUGAAGGCUGAAGCAGGACUGACUGAAGUCAGAAGAUGGAGAAAGAGUCUGCAGCAUCCAGCUGUCUGUCUAUGGAGAGUGAUCGGUCCAGAGGUGAACCUCCAAACUUCAGUGAAGAACCUGGACCCUCAGACACACAGAGAGGCUUCAUCAGUCGACAGGAUGAAUAUAAAUGUCCAUCUGUACAGAGACUCAAAGAUGAUGUUGGUCUGCAGGAGGUUUUAGAUGAACAUAAGAUCAGUCUGAGGAGGAGAUGUGAACA